CCUUAUCACUCUCUGACUCGAGUGUACCAGCGGUGGCGGAGCCAGUAGUUCUCCUGGUGCUGGCACGGAACUGCAACGGAAGGGAACGGCAACGGAAGGGAACGGCAACGGAAGGGAACGGCAACGGGAGAGAUAGAAACGUAAAAGGAUAUUGAAAGGCUCAAGAUAAACAUGAAGGUCCAUCUGGUAGCGAGUGUGGCCGUUGUGCUGUUAUCUGCAGUGGCUGUUAGUGACGCAGACGAUGAGGCGGUGCUGGAGGGCAUCAAGGAGGAACUCACUCAUAUUGAGAACUCCCUUGAUAGACUGAUGGCCAUUGUGAUGACUACUACAACCCCACCAGCCACCACAACAACCACAGAACCAACUACUAAAACUACACCAACUACCACAACCACACCAACUACCACAACCACACCAACUACCACAACCACACCAACUACUACAACCACACCAAC